GACGAACGCUGGCGGCGUGCCUAAUACAUGCAAGUUGAGCGAUGACGAUUGGUGCUUGCACCAAGUUGAAGAGCAGCAAACGGGUGAGUAACGCGGGGGAAAUAUGCCUUUGAGAGGGGGCUAACAGUUGGAAACGAAUGCUAGUACCGCAUAACAACUUUAAACAAAAGUUUUAAGCUUGAAAGAUGAAAUUGAAUCGAUAAAAGAUGGACCCGCGUCUUAUUAGUCAGUUGGUAGGGUAAAGGCCCACCAAAGCGACGAUCCGUAGCCGAUUUGAGAGGAUGAACGGCCACAUUGGGACUGAGACACGGCCCAAACUCCUACGGGAGGCAGCAGUGGGGGAUAUUGCACAAUGGGGGGAACCCUGAUGCAGCGACGCCGCGUGAGUGAAGAAGUAUUUCGGUAUGUAAAGCUCUAUCAGCAGGGAAGAUAAUGACAGUACCUGACUAAGAAGCCCCGGCUAACUACGUG
rnacentral:rRNA from 1 species